GACAGAGGUGCCGAGCGUUAGGCGGAAUCACUGGGCUUAAAGCGUGUGUAGGCGGGCGGGCAAGUACCUUGUGAAAUCCCACGGCUCAACCGUGGAACUGCUGGGUAUACUGGGUGCCUUGGGUCAUCUAGGGGCUGCCGGAACAAAUGGUGGAGCGGUGAAAUGCGUAGAUAUCAUUUGGAACGCCAACGGCGAAAGCAGGCAGCUGGGGAUGCACCGACGCUGAGACACGAAAGCCAGGGGAGCGAACGGG
rnacentral:rRNA from 1 species